rnacentral:rRNA from 1 species
AUGAUUAGAGGCCUUAGGGUCGAAACGACCUUAACCUAUUCUCAAACUUUAAAUGGGUAAGAACCACACCUUUCUUGGUAUGAAGGUGUGGUUGUGAUAUAAUGUGCCCAGUGGGCCACUUUGGGUAAGCAGAACUGGCGCUGUGGGAUGAACCAAACGUAAUGUUACGGUGCCCAAAUUGACAACUCAUGCAGAUACCAUGAAAGGCGUUGGUUGCUUAAAACAGCAGGACGGUGGACAUGGAAGUCGUAAUCCGCUAAGG